AUUGAACGCUGGCGGCAGGCUUAACACAUGCAAGUCGAACGAGUGGCGGACGGGUGAGUAAUGCUUGGGGAUCUAGCUUCUGGAGGGGGAUAACUACGGGAAACUGUAGCUAAUACCGCGUACCAUAGGAUGAGCCCACGUGGGAUUAGGUAGUUGGUAAGGUAAAGGCUCACCAAGCCGACGAUCCCUAGCUGGUCUGAGAGGAUGACCAGCCACACUGGGACUGAGACACGGUCCAGACUCCUACGGGAGGCAGCAGUGGGGAAUAUUGCGCAAUGGGGGCAAGCCUGAUGCAGCCAUGCCGCGUGUAUGAAGAAGGCCUUCGGGUUGUAAAGUACUUUCAGUCGGGAGGCGUUACCGACAGAAGAAGCACCGGCUAACUCCGUGCCAGCAGCCGCGGUAAUUC
rnacentral:rRNA from 1 species